rnacentral:rRNA from 1 species
GAUGAACGCUGGCGGCGUGCCUAAUACAUGCAAGUCGAGCGAACAGACGCUGGGCUUGCUCCUCUGACAUUAUCGGCGGACGGGUGAGUAAAACGUGGAUAACCUCCCUCUCAGACUGUGAUACCUUCGGGAAACCGGAGCUCAUACAGGGUAAUAUAUUGAACCGCAUGUUUGAAUAGUGAAAAACGUUUUUACUGUAACAUUUAGAUGGAUCCGCGCCGCAUUAGCUAGUUGUUAAGGUAACGGCUUACCAAGGCGACGAUGCGUAGCCGACCUGAGAGGGUGAUCGGCCACACUGGAACUGAGACACGGCCCAGACUCCUACAGGAGGCAGCAGUAGGGAAUCUUCCGCAAAGGGCGAAAGCCUGACGGAGCAACGCCGCGUGAGUGAUGAAGGACUUCGGUUCGUAAAGCUCUGUUAUUAGGGAAGAACAAAUGUGUAAUUAACUUAGCUCUUCUUGACGGUACCUAAUCAGAAAGCCACGGCUAACUACGUG